rnacentral:rRNA from 1 species
CCCUUAGAUGUUCGGGGCCGCACGCGCGCUACAAUGAGUCGAUCAACGUGCGUAUAUUUCCAAGGCCGAAAGGUCGAGGUAAUCCGUUGAACCCGACUCGUGCUAGGGAUAGGGACUUGUAAUUGUUUCCCUUGAACGAGGAAUUCCCAGUAAGCGCAAGUCAUCAGCUUGCGUUGAUUACGUCCCUGCCCUUUGUACACACCGCCCGUCGCUCCUACCGAUCGAAGAGUUAGGUGAAUUGUUUUGAUCGAUAAGAUUUGACUAUGGUCAACUCUCGUUGUGAAAUUCUGUGAAUCUGACUGUUUAGAGGAAGGAAAAGUCGUAACA